rnacentral:rRNA from 1 species
UCCAUCAAGAUGAGAUUUCCCAUUCCGCAAGGAAGUAAGAUCCCUGAAAGAUGAUCAGGUUGAUAGGUCUGAGGUGGAAGCGUGGUGACACGUGGAGCUGACAG